UCUGUUCCGUCUGUUGUUUGAUAUAAUGUUAGGCUUGGGACGAAACGGAACUAUGAGUGCCUGCAAAACCCUAGUCCGUACAUCUUUCUCCUCAAUCACCUCCACCCUCCGAACCAAUCGACCCGCCGUCUCUCUCCUCCACUCCAUCUCCCUCAUUUUCUCUCCGCUUCCUUCCAACCAAGCGCUCAGGCUUGCUCCGUACAAUGUUCCUUCGCGGCCGUACGCUUCAAUUUCAUCUGAAGCAGUUGCUGCAAAUUUAACAGAUGAAGCUCACUCUGCAGACUUAACCCUAGAACCGCUGGAGAACAUGACUCAGGAAACCGUGGGGGAGCUUCUGAGGAAGAAAAAAAAGGUUGCAUGCCUGAUGAAAAUAGAACGUCGCCAUGAGUCUGCGCACCAAAUCGGCAGUCGGUGGUUCUUGUAUCUGGACAAGUUCAGCUACAGUAAAGGUGCUUUUCUCAACAACGGUGAGGUGCUUGAAGCGGUGGAUCCAUACAUAAUGGAUGUGAGGAAGGAUAAGUUUAGGAAAGUGGUGAAGAAUCGGAGCUACGAGGUGUGUCUGGUGGUUGAAGGAUUGGGAUAUUUCGGCAAUGUAUCAGCGGCGUUUAGGUCUGCAGAUGCGCUUGGGUUUCAGGUGGUUCAUGUGGUAUCAUGCGACUCUAAAAGGUGCAACGGCAUUUGAGGUGAAAGGGGUCUAGUUUUGGGUUAAACUUUUGAAAAAAAAACCAGAAAGAAGAUUUUUUUUUUCUAAAUUUUUUGUUGAGACAAUCGCCAUGUCAGUAUGGGAGAGGAGAAAUGGUUGGACAUUGAAAUUUGGAACUCUACUGCUGAGUGUUUUGAAGUUCUAAAAUCACGAGGUUAUCGAAUUGCCAUAACCCAUAUCGGACGCGGUUUCUAUAUACGACAUGGAUUGGUCUUGCCCAACUGCGAUUGUAGUUGGAAAUGAAAAUAGUUGCUGCAGGCCUUCUCAUGCACCAUGCAGUUUGUGAUAGAACAUAUCGACGGGUAACAACUAUACUACUAUUCUUUCUGUACUGAAUAAUGCAUCCACUCUUUUUAUCGUUUUCUUUUUUAUUUAGAAAUUUACAUUCACGAUGUUUAAUCAUCUUCAUUGAUUGGAUUUUUAUAGUGGAAAAGGCAUUGACAAUAAAUUACAGGACAAUCAUAAACCCUACAUUUAUUGCCGGCAAUUGAUAUUGUUUUGGUGUGCAAUUGAACUUCCAUUUUGCAUUGCAUAAUGUGAAGCCUGAAUCAGUUCUCAACUCUCUUUUCUUGCCUUGUUUUCUACAAUCCUGUGUUGGUCCUGAAGUUGCCGGAUUCUUUCUACUAUGGGUCAAGACUACAACAACAUUCAUGUCAAAGUUUGUAUCAGGCACUAGACAAUUUGCAACUCAAUUUCACUGUAUUUUGUGACGUUCUGUUUUUCGCAAAAGGAAUAGUAAUUGUACAAAGCAGUUGCAUGCUUACUUAAAUUUCAAGCAUUAGAUGUUAAUAACUGUUGCCAGCAAAUAUACAGGGUAGCCAUGGGGAUCUGACAUUUGAAAAGAGCCAAAUUCUACUCACUGAAUUUUCUCUGCGGCAUAGCAAGAGUUCAAUUAGCAUUGCACGUGAGUAUGUAAAGCGGAAGGCAUCUCUGCUCCCAUCAAGGAUUUGAGAAAGACCCCUUUCUGAUUUCUGAUAGCAUGUAUGAUGUUAAACAAACGUGAUCUCUAAAUUUCUCACCAAAAGGAGCAGAAGAUAACAAGAAUCCUCUGAAGCCAACCAAGAGGACAAAGUGGUCAUGUCCGGUUGAAAGCUUACCUUGGUAAACAAGCGUUAUUCAGUCUAGAGAAGGCGGCAUGAGAGCUUACCUUGGUAAACAAGCAUUAUUCGUGCCAAGAAUAGUCUUUUCGUUUUCUAUUCUCUUGAUGAUUCUUUACUUUCUAGCGAUAGAUAGGACAGCUUGAAUCAAUGAAAUUAAUUUACCUAGUUGUUCUUUAGAAGAACUUCUUCUCCGGUUAUUUUUAAGGUCGGGUAUUUGAUAAAUUGAAUUGAGCAUCGGUCAUUCCUUCCUUCA